UCGGGAAUUUUGGGCAAUGGGCGAAAGCCUGACCCAGCAACGCCGCGUGAAGGAUGAAGUAUUUCGGUAUGUAAACUUCGAAAGAAUAGGAAGAAUAAAUGACGGUACUAUUUAUAAGGUCCGGCUAACUACGUGCCAGCAGCCGCGGUAAUACGUAGGGUGCAGGCGUUAAUCGGAAUUACUGGGCGUAAAGCGUGCGCAGGUGGCUCCUUAAGUCAGAUGUGAAAUCCCCGGGCUUAACCUGGGAACUGCGUUUGAAACUGAGGAGCUAGAGUGUGGAAGAGGGGGGUGGAAUUCCAGGUGUAGCAGUGAAAUGCGUAGAGAUCUGGAGGAACACCGAUGGCGAAGGCAGCCCCCUGGGCUAACACUGACGCUCAUGCACGAAAGCGUGGGGAGCAAACAGGAUUAGAUACCCAAGUAGUCCCUGAGCGGGCUGGCAAGGCGCAU
rnacentral:rRNA from 1 species